rnacentral:rRNA from 1 species
GAGGGMAAGYCUGGUGCCAGCAGCCGCGGUAAUUCCAGCUCCAGUAGCGUAUAUUAAAGUUGUUGCAGUUAAAAAGCUCGUAGUUGGAUUUGUGGUGUUUUUUUUUAUUUGCUUUUUUGGUCUCUUUUCAUCGUUUUUAACUUUGAAUCUGAGACUUGGAAGCGAGGACACCAUCCUUGACAGGUUUGAAAGUGAUAUUAUAUCACCGCAAACAUUGUCAUCCUUUACUUUGAAAAAAUUGGAGUGAUUCAAGCAGGCAAGAAUUAUAAUUUUAAUUUUAAUUUAACUUUGCUUCUGCACAUGUUAGCAUGGAAUAAUGCAAGAGGACUUGGGUUUUCUCUUUCAUUGGUUUCAGGAAUCCGAGUAAUGAUUGAUAGGGACAGUUGGGGGUGCUCGUACUCGACGGCCAGAGGUGAAAUUCUUGGAUUCGUUGAAGACGAACAACUGCGAAAGCAUUCACCAAGGAUGUCUUCUUUAAUCAAGAACGAAAGUUGGGGGAUCGAAGAUGAUCAGAUACCGUCGUAGUCCCAACCAUAAACGAUGCCGACCAGGGAUCAGCGAGCGUUGACUUGGCGUUCUCGUUAUUUUCUUUUUUGAGAAUUCGUAGAUUUUGCCAACCUCAUUAAUUUGAAACGACCUCGUUGGCACCUUGCGAGAAAUCACCAGUCUUUGGGCUCCGGGGGGAGUAUGGUCGCAAGGCUGAAACUUAAAGGAAUUGACGGAAGGGCACAACCAGCAGUGGAGCCUGCGGCUUAAAUUGACUCAACACGGGGAAACUUACCAGGUCCAGACAUCAUAAGGAUUGACAGAUUGAAGAUCUUUCUUGAUUUGAUGGUUGGUGGUGCAUGGCCGUUCUUAGUUGGUGGAGUGAUUUGUCUGGUUAAUUCCGUUAACGAACGAGACCUCAACCUGCCAAAUAGGUUGUUCCCUUGCUGUUCUUUAUGGCGAGGGUGGUUGCGGUAUUUGGUUUAUUCAUUUUGAUUAAAUUGGAUCCCAACUAUGACUGAUUCAUUUCUGUGAAUCAUGAUCAUACAACACUUCUUGGAGGGACUAUCAGUUCGCAUCUGAUGGAGGUUUGAGGCAAUAACAGGUCUGUGAUGCCCUUCGAUGUCCUGGGCUGCACGCGCGCUACACUGAUACAUGCAUCAAGCAGUUCAAUCAUACUGGACAUAAUUUUUAUGUUUAGUGACACCUUUGCUGAUAGGCAUGGGGAAUCUUUGAACUUGUAUCGUGAUGGGGAUAGAUGAUUGCAAUUAUUCAUCUUCAACGAGGAAUUCCUAGUAAACGCGGCUCAUCAAGCCGCAUUGAAUACGUCCCUGCCCUUUGUACACACCGCCCGUCGCUGCUACCGAUUGAAUGGUUCAGCAAGUUCCACAGACUGGCUCCUUUCCUUGCUUUUUACCAAGUUGGAUAGAUGAGCCGGGAAGUGGCGCAAACUUGACCAUUUAGAGGAAGCAAAAGUCGUAACAAGG